rnacentral:snRNA from 1 species
AUCGCUUCUCGGCCUUUGGCUAAGAUGAAGUGUGGUAUCUGUUCUUAUAAGCUUAAUAUCUGAUACAUCCGCUAUCCAAGGACAACAUAUUGAAUGGAUUUUUGGAGAAGGGAGAUUGAAAAGGAGCUUGUUCUGUCCACUCCACACAUCGACCAGGUACUGUUGUCCUUCCAGGCACAGUACCCCUU